GACGAACGCUGGCGGCGUGCUUAACACAUGCAAGUCGAACGGAAAGGCCUGCUUUCCCUUGUGGAUUGCGGGUACUCGAGUGGCGAACGGGUGAGUAACACGUGAGUGAUCUGCCCCCAACUUGGGUAUAAGCCUGGGAAACUGGGUCUAAUUCCCGAUAGGACUGCAGGGUGGUGCCUGUGGUGGAAAACGAUUUUCUAGUGGUUGGGGAUGAGCUCGCGGCCUAUCAGCUUGUUGGUGGGGUAAUGGCCUACCAAGGCGGCGACGGGUAGCCGGCCUGAGAGGGUGGACGGCCACAGUGGGACUGAGAUACGGCCCAGACUCCUACGGGAGGCAGCAGUGGGGAAUAUUGCACAAUGGGCGGAAGCCUGAUGCAGCGACGCAGCGUGGGGGAUGACGGCCUUCGGGUUGUAAACUCCUUUCGACCGCGAGGAAGCCACCUGGUUGGAAGGGUGGUGACGGUAGUGGUAGAAGAAGCACCGGCUAACUACGUG
rnacentral:rRNA from 1 species